rnacentral:rRNA from 1 species
AGAGUUUGAUCCUGGCUCAGGAUGAACGCUAGCUACAGGCUUAACACAUGCAAGUCGAGGGGCAGCAUCAUCAAAGCUUGCUUUGAUGGAUGGCGACCGGCGCACGGGUGAGUAACACGUAUCCAACCUGCCGACAACACUGGGAUAGCCUUUCGAAAGAAAGAUUAAUACCGGAUGGCAUAGUUUUCCCGCAUGGGAUAAUUAUUAAAGAAUUUCGGUUGUCGAUGGGGAUGCGUUCCAUUAGGCAGUUGGCGGGGUAACGGCCCACCAAACCUACGAUGGAUAGGGGUUCUGAGAGGAAGGUCCCCCACAUUGGAACUGAGACACGGUCCAAACUCCUACGGGAGGCAGCAGUGAGGAAUAUUGGUCAAUGGACGAGAGUCUGAACCAGCCAAGUAGCGUGAAGGAUGACUGCCCUAUGGGUUGUAAACUUCUUUUAUACGGGAAUAAAGUGAGCCACGUGUGGCUUUUUGUAUGUACCGUAUGAAUAAGGAUCGGCUAACUCCGUGCCAGCAGCCGCGGUAAUACGGAGGAUCCGAGCGUUAUCCGGAUUUAUUGGGUUUAAAGGGAGCGUAGGCGGGUUGUUAAGUCAGUUGUGAAAGUUUGCGGCUCAACCGUAAAAUUGCAGUUGAUACUGGCGACCUUGAGUGCAACAGAGGUAGGCGGAAUUCGUGGUGUAGCGGUGAAAUGCUUAGAUAUCACGAAGAACUCCGAUUGCGAAGGCAGCUUACUGGAUUGUAACUGACGCUGAUGCUCGAAAGUGUGGGUAUCAAACAGGAUUAGAUACCCUGGUAGUCCACACAGUAAACGAUGAAUACUCGCUGUUGGCGAUAUACAGUCAGCGGCCAAGCGAAAGCAUUAAGUAUUCCACCUGGGGAGUACGCCGGCAACGGUGAAACUCAAAGGAAUUGACGGGGGCCCGCACAAGCGGAGGAACAUGUGGUUUAAUUCGAUGAUACGCGAGGAACCUUACCCGGGCUUAAAUUGCAACUGACGGAACCGGAAACGGUUCUUUCUUCGGACAGUUGUGAAGGUGCUGCAUGGUUGUCGUCAGCUCGUGCCGUGAGGUGUCGGCUUAAGUGCCAUAACGAGCGCAACCCUUAUCGAUAGUUACUAGCAGGUCAUGCUGAGGACUCUAUCGAGACUGCCGUCGUAAGAUGUGAGGAAGGUGGGGAUGACGUCAAAUCAGCACGGCCCUUACGUCCGGGGCUACACACGUGUUACAAUGGGGGGUACAGAAGGCAGCUACACGGCGACGUGGUGCUAAUCCCAAAAGCCUCUCUCAGUUCGGAUUGGAGUCUGCAACCCGACUCCAUGAAGCUGGAAUCGCUAGUAAUCGCAGGUCAGCAUACUGCGGUGAAUACGUUCCCGGGUCUUGCACACACCGCCCGUCA